CAGUGGCAACCCCCGAAUCCUGAAAGAACUUCUCAUUCUGUACUAUUUUCUUGGGCUGUCCUCCUCAUCCUAGUAGGAUAGCUUAAUACUGCUGACCCCACCCCAUCCAGAGCAAAGACUCAAGAGUGGAAGUAAAAUUGUCCCAGCUUGUGGAAACUGUUAUGCAGACUGGUGGUACCCUGGAGUGCUUGGAAUCAAAUGCCUGAGAGCCUGACCUUGCCCCUGGGCCUCCAUGCACAGUGGUGCAAAUUUCCCAUUCUCUGCAUGUACCGAGAAGAUUCGUGGAAUAGUCCCUGUGGAUACUUCUAGCUGUGGCUAAGAUUCUUAAUCCAGUGCCUUGGACCACUCUGCCACGCUACUCAGCUACAGCUAAGAUUUUUUACACCACAAAGACAACAAAAAUCAGAGUCAGCAAAUGGAAAUGGUGCUUGGGGCAAAAUCUGCAGGGGAGGAGGCCAAAUUUCCAGGAGUCAUUUCCCAGUGGGGGCCCUCAAGAUGGGCCCAUUUCUCUGGCAAUGAGUGAGGACAGCAGGUAGGAAAGGGGGAAUUAUCAGGGGUACUCCCCCAGAGAUGUUUGCCCAGGGGUUUCACUGUGGGCCUAGGACACAAUAAGAUUCCAGACUUAAGAGCCCUUUCUGUCCUUCUUUGGGUACUAUGAAAGCAGGUGUUCAGUCCGAACCAAUCCUUGUGUCAUUAGACAGACCACAUUGUUUGUCCCACUUUAGAAAUGUGGGGGACACUCCAGUGGCAGAAGCUUCUUUGUGUUAACUUGGAGGGGUGUUGGAAAGAGAUGAACAUUUGAAUCAGUGGGUAUCUGUGGCUAUAAAUAACAUAGAGGAGCCCAUCUAGUGAACAAGAGGCCUGGAAGAAUAAUACCCAGCCUGCCUCCCUGAGCAAGAGUGAAAUCCUGAACAGACGCUUCUGGACUUCAAAUCAGCUCACCCGUGUUUCUUCCCACCAGCCCGUGGACUGGAACUGCACAUCAGCUCUUUUGAGUCUAAAGCCUGCCUAGCUACUCUGCAGAUUUUGGACUCACUAUCAGUGGCUUGUUAGUCAGUUUCGUACAAGACACUUUCUUCUCAUCCUACUGGUUCUGUUUCUCCAGAAACCUUGACCCCUCCCCAAACUAAAUUUUUCCAGAUACCAGCCAAGCCUCAACCUUGCAAGUAGAUUUUGCAAGAAUUGCAGAGCCCUUGAGAGAAGUCUCCCUCCACUGUGCCUUCCUGUUAACUCAUUUCUGCACAUUACUAACUUGCGUGCCAGAAGUCACAUGGUUGUUAAACCAUGGAGCAGUGGAGCUCACAAGCAAUCAUGGAGUUGAAGAAAAAGUACAUGGACAGAAGUUGACUGUUAGUGUAGGAAUGGUUGAGACAGCGGGCACAGAACCCGGGUCAGUGGCUUUCCUGGGGUAGGGGAACAUUCAAUGAGGACUCCAGAGUAAUGAGACUAAUUGUGGAGGACUGAAGAAGGCUAGAAACUCUUUGCCAUUCCUUACACGAAUAAGUAGAGUUGAUUUCCUGUAUUCCUAGAUCUGGAAUGGUAUGUAUUUACUGUCUCUAAUAGAAUGCAGUCAGUGUGGCAUUGUGGAAGUCCUGGAAAGGAGCUUUAAGCAGCCUGGCCCUUUUGUGUUUCUGUUCUUGGGACCCCUGAAUAGACAGGUGAUGAUGCCUGAGUACCUGCUGAAGAAACCAAGAGAAGGGGUGAGGGAGAACAGCCAGACACAAUAGGACCAGCUGUUCCAACUGAGGUGACACCCAGCUAAUUAAUGUCACUGUGCCUUAGCCAAAGUCAGCCUCAGAGGAAGCGUUGGAUAAAGACAGACUGUCAUAGCAUCACCCUGCAGGGUCCCACGGUGACCACGGAAUCAUGAACAAAUAAUACAAUGAGGUGGCUUGAAGCCAGUAACUGUGGGCAUCUGACUUCACAGCAAGAGAUAAGCAUUACAGAGUGGCAGCUGGGACAGUCGGAGCACAGUGGCUUCCUUGUAAUGAUGGAGCCCAGAGCAAAAAGCAGGAGCAAGACAUCUGAGCUGAGGCAGCAGGGCGGCUCGGAUCUUUUCCUGCCAGUUUUCCACUGUUUCACAACACUGACGUGUGUCACUUCACAGCAAAAACAAUCUGUACCCUUCUGAAUGAGGCACUACCCCGGAAUCUCUUCCAGACCUCAUCAGCCCUCAAACCACGGUCUGUGAGCAGCCGAGGGAGAUCCCAUACACAGUGAGUCAUGUUUAUCUUUGGAGUGCUGAACGCCUUGUGUGGAUCUUAGGUCACCGCUGACCCGUAGCCUGCAGCUUGUUUCUUCACCGGGAGCCAAAACACAGUGCAUAACCUCAUCUCCGGCAACAUUCUCAACAGGGCCCGAGUGUCUGUGCACGGGUGCCAAAUGUGCCUACAGUGAGUCCAGAAAUGUAAGAAUUGCCCACAGCCAGUCUGGCCGAUUUUCUGGACAGUACUGUUGAGGUACUUAAUUACAACACUUAAAUCUAAAUGUGCGUAUCCAGGCACUGGAUGCUCCAUUUAUAGCACAAGGGGAAUUCACCUAUCCAUUUAGCAACACAGCGGGGGAGGGGGGCUGGAGGGUGGGGGGGACACUUAGCCUGUCACAGACACAUUUAGAAGCCGUGCUUCCUGAACUCCGGGGAUUGCUUUUAUGUCUCUCACAAGAGAUAAGACAGGAUCAUAAGGGGAUCUGGUCAAGGCAACACAUGGGUAAAUGGCAUAACAGAGAAUACGGUGAGAGGAAAGUUCGGGGAUGGCGGACAUCACUUCUGGCCAAAGGAAAUAGAAACUUGAAAGAUUUCUUAGAAGUGUAAUCUAUCACCCUCAAACUCGGCAUUUAAAAGCCCCACACAGUUAUUAGCUAUAUGACCUUGUGCAAAUCAUAAAUUUUCGACGUCUUAGUUUGCUUAUCUUUUUAAAAGGAAGGGUUGGGCUAAGCGAUCUUAAAGGUUUUUCUGCUCUAAAGACCUGGGAUACAUGAGUUUUCAUGAGAAGACCCAGCUAAAUGUGUGACAAUCUAUUCUUCAUACAACCAGAGUGGCUUUUAAAACCCAAAUAAGAUAAUGUUUCCCAUGGCUUAAAACCCUUUCAUGGCAGCAUUUCAAAGAAAGCCCAAACUCUUGUGAUGCGCAGUUGCCUGUGCUCCCAGCAACUCUGACUCCCCCAUCCUCCCUCUGGCCUUCACCCAUUCACCCAGGGGCUUCUUUCCCUCUGUCUGAAUGUAGGAAUUGUAUUUUUCAGGGUAGCUGUGUUUCAAUUCUUGUUCCUCUGAACCCCUGCUUCCUCUGAGCUAGGCAGUCUGGGAGUGGAAAACAGUACCACCCAGGAAUCCUGGCAGGGUGAACCGUUGCAGGGAGAGCUGGCAAGGCGGAGUGUAGGCUUCUCCUUUGCUCUAUACUGACUUUCAGAUCCAUCUCUUGACUUCUCCCCACACUUCCAUCUCUGGCUUUCAGGGCUUUCAAUUGCUGAAGGUUUUUGGGGAGGCUUGACAAUGUGCCUUAGAUCCACUACUAAGUGCUCAGUGUUUUGCAUUGUGCUAGCCCACCCAACCUUGCACUUUUCAGCUUACAAAAAUGUCUUCACUCUUAGAGUCUACAAUCCUCUCCUCUCCUCUCCCCUCCCCUCUCCUCCUCUUCUCUCUUCUACUCUCAUUUCUUCUCCCCUUCUUUCCUCUCCUCUUCCCCUCUCCUUGGCCUUAUCUCCCUCUCCUUCUCCCUUCCCCCCCUCCUUGCCACUCAGUUCUCUCCUUUCCUCUCUCUUUUUUUGUCCCUCCCUUCUUUCCACCCAUUCUCUCUGUCUUUGUUUGUGCAAAGACAAGGAUUAAGGAAUGCCUCAUUUCUCCCGUGUUUAGAUGGAGUGCAUCUGGUUUCCUCUUAUGGUUGUUCCUCCUUGUUUAGGUAUUAGUUAAUGUAAGAGCUGGAUUCCAGUGCCUGUUCUGAGCCCCAGUAGGUCCCUCCUGGAACUGUUUAUUAAAGAGUCCUGCUGGCUUCUUUCUCAACAUUUGCUGUAAUAUUCAGCUAUGUUGUCAUUACUUAGCAAUUCAGUGAUUUUAAGUCUACCGCUCCCACUACAAUGCACUCACAGGGGAGGCAGGGGCCAUCCUUUUCCUCCCAUCAGUUAGUGCUAAGUGCUUAACACAGUACCUCAUUUUGGACAAAUGCUUGAGGAUUCCUCCUAAUGAAUGUUGGCACUCUCCAUUAACUGAGAUUUGCUGAGGGGAAAACGGGGUGAAAAGAGACAAAGAUCAGCAAAUCACACGAGGGAGAAGACUCAGGAACAUCAUCUUUGGUGUGCAAACUUUAGAAUAGGAGCUGUAAGACCUCUCAGAUGAAUUAUGUAACAGGGGACAGAGAUAAUGAUAUCCCAAAUGAAUUACAUAAGAGUGAGGGGCAGAGUUAACGAUUGUACAUUCACUCCUGAGGCUGCCGUACAAUUACAAUGAGUCCAUAUAGGUAGAGCUGUGGGAGCAGUGUCUGGCACGUAGUGUUGGAGUAGUUGGUUGGCGAUGGAAGCUGUAUAUCCAAGACCUGUUCAUUGCUUUAAGCCUCUGUGGUUAUUCAGGAAUAUUUAUUGCACCGAAUAACUAAUGCAAUGUACAACUGGUGGAAAUCUCACAAAGCAACCCAAAACCUCAUUUCCUUCCUCUCAUGGGUUGUCAAACCUGUUUACCAGAUUUCAAAGCUCUCUUUUGUUAUUCUGACUUUUUGUGUGUUUGUGUAUUGUUUGUUUGUUUGGCUACUACUACAGUCUGAAUCCAUCACAGCAAAUUUCAUAUGGAAACUCAGUCGCUAUUUUGUUACAAUUAAAACACAGAGCCUGCAAGAAAUCCUGGAUCACAGGGGUCAGCUCUCAGCUGGGAUUAGUGCUCCAUAAAUGACCCUGAUGGUAUCUGCUAGCCUCUCCAUUAUGAGGACAUAGCUUACAAGCUUCGUAUCAAACAUGACAUCUCUUUGUCCCUCCCUCACUCACCAAGAAGUCUACCACACCUGUGAGUACAUGGGAAGCACACAUUGAACUUGGUGGGCCAUAAGAGGCUGGGAAAAGGCUGGGGUGGAUCUGGAGGAGUUAGGGGAAUAGUGUAAAUGAAAAUGAUCAAAGUGCAUCACAUGUGUGUAUGAAAUUUUCAAAGGAUUAGCCAAAAUGUUAUAUUAAAUAAAAGAGCUCUACCACUAAGCUGUAUUCCACCUACAAACACCGAACAUUCUGAUGUCUUUUUCUGGCACCUCUGAGCCUCCAGAAAAGGGAGGACUAAAUCACUGCUUUUCAUAACUCAACUAAGCUGUGUGUGAGAGAGGGGUACACGUGUGUCAAGCUAUGGUUGUGAAGGGCUACACAGGCCAAGGUAUGGGCAUGGAGGUGUGUGUGGGAGGAGGGCUACACAUGUACCAGGGUAUGGUGAUGGGGGAUGUUCUUCUGUAUGCUGUGAAUAUACAAUAUACGUUUCUCUUAUUGGUUGUUGAAUAAAGCUGUUUUGGCCGAUGUACUGGCGGGAUGUAGUCAGGCAGGAAGAAUAGGCAGGGCUACCAGACUAGAAUUCUGAGAAGAGGAACAGAGAGAGUGAGUUGUGGGAGAGAUGCCAUGUAGCUGCCCAGAAAGAAAGAGGUCUGGACAUCACCAGUAAGCCAAGACCACAUGGAGAUACACAGAUUAAUAGAAAUGGGUUAAAAAUUAAGAGAGAGCUAGCCAAUAAGAAGCCUAAGCUAUAGGCCAAACAGUUUAUAAUUAAUAUAAGCCUCUGUGUAUAUAUUGGAGAUUAAACAGCUGCAGGGCUGGUCUACAUAUGGAUGAGGAGGUAUGGGGAGUACACAUGUACCAGGAGUACGGUUAUGCAGGCAUGGGGGGAGGGGUAACACAUGUGCCAGGGUAUGGAUGUGGAGGUCAGAGGACAAUUUAAAGACUUCGUUCUCUGCUUGCACUAUGUGGGUUCCAGGGAUUGAACACAGGUUAUCAGGAUUGGUGACAAGUGUCUAUACCUCCUUAGCUAUCUCACUGGUCCCCAGUUUGCUUCCAGAGAUGUCAUGUCCUUUUUCUUAGGCAGCAACUCGUGACAGUCAUCCCAUGAUAGCAAGGUUCCCUCUAAGACUCAUCAUCUCUUGCCUUGGACCACCACUGGCAACAUCAUGAGGCCAGGAAACACCUCUCUGCCUCUCAGGCUAGUCACAAGCUAAUCUCAGCUAAACAACAAAGCUUACCAAAGAAUUGAAUUAGUUAUUUCCAUAAAAGUGGAUCCUCUUUUAUACAUGCCCCAUCAUUAAUAGUUCAAAAUCCUCAGACUCUAGCUAAGCCAAAUGUCCUGAAUCCCAUGUAUUCUGGGGACAGAAUUAUAUUUCACUGUAGGGACAUUUUCCUUGACCUUCUGUUGCCAAAUACUUUACUCCAGAGUUUUCUGCUCCUUCCCUUCUUGUCCCUCUUUCCUCAUUCAUCUUACCUAAAACACACACAGGCACACACACACACACACACACACACACACACACACAGAGAGAGAGAGAGAGAGAGAGAGAGAGAGAGAGAGAGAGAGAGAGAGAAAGAGAGAGAGAGAUUCUGAUUAAGGCUAUUCUUGUUGCCAUGUAAGACUUGCUGGCCAAAUUGUGGUGAAAUUUAACAAUGUGGUGAGAACAAGAAAUUGUGGCGUCGGGGAUAAGUAGUGUCCUGGUGAUGCCAGGGGCUACUCGUCGAGCUGAAGGUGUGCUGAAAAUGGCAGACACUUCUUAAAAUGGCCCUUGGAAGAGCCAAUGGGAAUCCCAAGUAAAUGUCAGCCUUCUUGCUGACAGACAGGGAGGGGGAGUUGGGGAAGAGGGACUUCUAUUUUCCCAGUCAGGGUGAAUUUCCUCCAUUGUGAUAAGUGACCUCUUCUAUUUCCUAGCAAACUAGAUUAUAACCCUCCAAAAUGAAACACCUCGCCACUAAUACCUUCAUGAAAUGGGGUGGACAGCUGUUGUAUUUGCCUGUCUAGGCUGUAUCACUCUCUAGUCUGAUAACAGUCCGCUGGGAUCAUGGUGGGGGACAGCUCACUCCAUACUGGUGUCUAGGGCAGGCUCAAGACUCAAGCUGUGUCACCCCAGAAAGGAACACACUUGCCAAAAAAACUUUCUAAAAUGAAACUCAUUCACAUGCCUUGAUUCCAACCUCAGUAACCUGAAGAGGAUCCAGGCUGAACCUAGGCUCUCAUAGCUGCUCACACACCUGUACUGAGACCGGACUCUUAUGCCAUCAUUUUUAUUCUGGGAGCCAGUCCUAGACUUUUCUUUCUCUUUCCUUUUGAAAUCUUACAAUAUGGGUCUCUUGUGUCUUGUGUCUUCAGUCAAAUACCUCAAAGACCCAGUGGAAGAAGAGAUGGACCUGGGAUAUCACGAGAGGAAAUUUUGUAACCAUGCUCAUUCAUUAUUUGCUCUAUUGGGGAGUCUGUGGUGUUUCCCAAAAGUAUAUGUGCUAAAAAGGCAUAGUCCCAGCUUGGUUUUAUUGACAAAUGGCAGAACCUUUAGGAUAUUAGACCCAGGGAGAGGUCACUGGGGAUGCAUCUCUGCAGGGGACAGUGAGACUCUUGCCAUUCUUUGCUCCUUCUUUGCCUUUUCUACCUCAUCUGUACCAUAUGUUCAUACCACGAGAGUCUGUGCUGCCACUGGCCCAAAGCAGUGGGAUCAAGCAACUAUGAACCCUCUAAGUCUGCGAACCCAAAUAAAUGUGUCUUCUCAUAAGUAGAUUUAUUUCUAGUAUUUAUUGUGAUAGCAAAGAUUUGACAAAAACAAACAUGUACAGCAGGAAAGCCUGAUUCUCUCAUUUCUUGUUCAUGUUCAUUUCACCAUGAAGUCACAAAUUUCACGGUAACCCUCCUUCCCCCUACCAUAGCCAUCAUUUCUUUACUGAAUACAUUUUGAACACCUGCUGUAUGUCAGACUGUGAUUGUAAUGGCAAAAAUUCUGUUUUUGGUGAGGCUUGCAUUCCAAAAGGAAAAAGAGACAUUACUGAAGCAAACAAGUAGAUUAGCAAAGCAGCUGGACACAACAGUAUGAAAUAGGAGAGUGGCACAGAGUAACCACAGCCUUGUGGUUAGGGGAAACCUGCCUGAAGAGCAGACUUUCAAGACAUAGAUCAUUUUGGGGGAAGCAACCAUGUGAAACUGUGUGGGAAGGAAUGUUAUCUAGGCAAACAAAACAGCAAGGGAAAAGCCCCGACGUGGGGACAAGCAUGAUGUAUCACAACACAUGUGAGAGAAAGAUACAAAAUGGCCAAGGACAUUUGCAGGGGCCAAGUCAUGCUUGGGCUUCUAGACUUCACUAAGCUAAGAAGCUUGGAUUCAUCUUCAUUACUGGAAGACGAUCUGUCUCGGUGCCAUGUCUGGUGUUCUCCUGAUCGCUCUCUGCGGUCUGCCUGCAGCCAGCAAUCUGCUACAGCCGGCUGCUUUGUUCCGCCCAGGAGCCCUGUCAUCUCUCAAGGAAGGAGAAUCAUCAAUGGCAUCUCACUUCAACAAAUUAGCCACAGUGUUUACACUGCAGAAAGAUUUCGGUGGAGAAGCAUAGGACAAAUGCUACAAAUCUCUGACCAUAGUCACUCAUUCAGCAAAAUGCUGCUCACCGAUACUGAUUAUUGAGUAUUGUGAGGCACAAGAUGACCUCAAAAGACUGACACUCUCAGGGAGAGAGAUCAUCAAUCCUGUAAUAAAACAACACUCCAGAGUUCCCCCUGAGGAAACAACAAAAAAGUUAAAGUAAUCUGUGGAAUGCAGACAAAGAACUGCACACAGUUUUAUGGAGGAAUUAACGCAAGGAGGAAUCUGUUCUUCAAUAGCUGCAGUAAAAUGUGCCCUGUUCUGGUUUGGAACAAGCGGAAGCAUACGUGAAUUUCUGUCUUACACUGAAAGUUCCCUGUGACUCUAGUUUAAUGAUUUGCGACUGUUGCUGCUGCAACACUAACUGAGAAAUUUCCUAAGUGGAUGCAGACAAACUAAACUAAGGAGGAUCCAGUGUGCAUUGGAGACCCAGAGCUGUACCGGGGAUGGCUUUCCUCAGGGUGUGCUUCUGCAGCUCUUCUCAUGAUGGCUCCAUCAAGAAAGGGCUUCAUAGUCAGGUGGGCUACACACCUCAUCCAAUGAGUGAGCGUCUGAAUCCCAAGCCAAAGACCUAGACAGCAACAACAAAUAGAAAACUGUUGGUCUUAUUUGCUUGCCUCUAUAUUUUCCAAAGUUGAUUACCUUUGGAGCUCAGUUUCAUGAGAAACGUAUCAAUUUCUUAUGGACCAGUCUUGAAACACUGCUUAAAUAAUUUACACAACCUAUCUUCUCUUCUAUAAAUAAUUUAAUCAUUAACCAUAGCCAGACUCCUACAGCAUCCCACAGAGAAAGAGAACCUGGAUGGACAGCUCCAAACUCUUGGUUCCAGCUUAGGUCAGAUGAGGCCAUGGCUCUGCAUUUGAAUUCCUUAAACCACAACACAAAACUGAAUGUUACUACUCAUCAAAGCUCCUGACAGGACUGAGUAAAGGACAAGCAAAAGAUGUGAGGAUAAUGUAUUCAACAAUUUUUAAAGAUUAUAUAUUAAGAUUCUAUGUUCUAUAUAUGCCAUAGUCUAUAUGCACAGCAUAUAUACUAUUCCUUUAUCUAUUAUAUAUACUUAGGAUAUGUUACCCAGAAUCCUUUAAUGAUAUAUGUGUAUAUCUUAUAUAAAACAUACAGACACUUUCUUUUAUUAGUUGAGAUCUAGGUUACUGCAAUCCACCCUUACAUUUCAAUGCUUUAUGUAGCAAAUGGUCCAUUUCUCUCACAUACAUCCUCCAUUUCAGGUAUUGCUCUUCAGGUAAUUCUCUUGGGUGAUUUCCAGCUAGAUAGAAACUCAGGGAUCCAGGUUUUCCUAACAGGGAAAAGAAGAAUGUAUGGAGGACUCCACAAAAUUAUUUAAUACUGCAAGUACGCUCUCAUUUUAUGGGUUAGAGCAGCUAUGGAACUCCUUCUCAAGGCAAGGCGCCUUGGGAAAAUGGUAUUUCUCAGUCCCAUAAAGAAAUGGAGUCCGUAAACACAUAAUACAUAAGCACACAGUAUUGUCUUAGAGACAGAUAAAACUCCCAAAUAGUCUAUGAGCCUCUCUGAGACGUGGUGCUUGGUAGGUGCAAAUGCUCACAAGGAAGCAGUUGGUAUGGGUUUGUUUUCUUCUCUGACCACAUCCUUUGUUAACAUUUAGGACAAAGACCUUCUAAAGUCACGUGAACGAUUUCAGAGAAAACUGGAAAACACUCUCAUGGAAAUGCAGUCUGGAGAGAGACAGAGAGAGACAGAGAGAGAGAGAGAGAGAGAGACAGAGACAGAGACAGAGAGAGACAGAGAGAGAGACAGAGAGACAGAGAGAGACAGAGAGAGAGAAUAAGACCCUACACAAACACAGCUAAGCACCAACCAUAGACUCUGCCAACUAUUCCAAACUAAUUGCUGCUGUGCACAGGCAACAUAAAUCUAUUUUCAAUUGUAGAUGGGGUUUCUUUCCUGCCUGGUCCCGCUGCCAUUUAAACAAGCAGGAAAGAAACCCUGUCCACAGGCAGUGGGAAAAGCUGAAAGGGUGACAUGGGUUGGAUAUGUGAACUAAUUGGAGCCAGAAGGAAAAUAUUGGGGAGCAGAAAUCUUUAUACAGUAUUUUUCAUCAGACUGUAAUCUUCCUAGCUACAAAAUUACAUAUAUAGGAAAGGCAGAAAAACACAAAACAAAGUGAAAACCACUAUUAAUCCCAGUUCCCAUCCACACUACACAAAAUCCUCACUGUUUAAAUGAUUAUUAUCUACUGUUCUUAUAGAUGAACUCAACUUUUCAUAGCAUAUAUUUCCCCCUAAAUACCACACUCACUCUGCAGGUUUUGUGGCUCAUUUUUAUAAAGCUCACAAUAUCGUCUGGAUGUUUCAUAAUAUUAUUAUGGAUGGCUACAUAGUCAACAAUGGUUGAGCAUGACUGUUUCUAGCUUUUUUUUCUCAUGAAAAAAAUUGGCAUAUUGAGCAUCUCUCUGUGCCCAUUUUCUACAGAUAUCUGAUCAUUUGUAUUCUAAGAGAUUUGUGAUAAUGUUGACUAACACUUAAUGAAGUUUAUAGUGUGCUUAAUUUUGAAGUAAGUUUCUUACUUUCUGCAUCUAAGUCAGUCUUUCAAACAAGUGUCUGCUGGUCAUAUUAACAGUGUAUCCAUGCUCUACGUAAGGAAACAAUGUCUGAGAAAAGGUAAAUCCUUUGCCUGUUAUGAUACAGCUACUUAAUGGAAGAAACCGGAUUUGAACCCAGAGUGACUGACUUCAGCAUCCAAGAUCCUCCAUUUCCUACUCUACCCUGGAGAGCACUUAAAUUCUCACUAGCAGAUUAACCUUCAUGGAGAGUUGACAGAGUAAUGGAUAUGGCUUGAGAAGGGGUAUGUAUAAUCAAGAGGAACUGCUUAUAUGAUGGCUAAGAGAAGAAGAGAAGGUAAAGUUUUAUGAGGGACAGUAACUUUUGCCGGUUGAAGUAAAAACAAAAAACUAUGAGUUAAUAUAUCCAGAGAGGCAAAGUCAUUUCAAAGGACAAUCUCCAAGCCAAAGUUCAGGACUGUUUAAAAAUUAUUGAAAGGGACAAUGGGAGUGCCUGUCCAGUUGAACAAAGAGGAGCGAUGUCAAAACAGUACUUGAUAAAGACAUACUCUGAGUCGGUCUUUGAUUUAAGAAAGUGGCCUUUGGCUUGUGGAAUGAGAUAAAAUCCAAGUUUCUGAGGCCUUUUAGGAGACCCUUUGUCAUAAUUUUCCUCCAGUCUGACAACUUCUCUGUGGGGAUGCACUUUCUUCACAGUAGCUGGAGAAUCUGAAGGGAGCCAGAAGUCAGGGCCUUAGAUCCUGUUUUCACUUCCAGCCUCCACUCACAACCACUUCCCAGAAGGCCUUGCAAGUCCCUGAUGGAAUCAGGGAGGGAAGAUUGAUGGCAAGAGGCAGAAAAGUCAACUAUAGAAAUGUUAGGACAGGGUGGAAGAUGAGAAUUAUGAGUUUAUAUUCUGUGUUCAGACGACCUAGGUUCAAAUGCAGGUGACUGUUGACUAACAACAUGACUAGGGCGAGAUGACUAUCCUCACUGUACCUCAGUUUCCUUAAUUGUAAAAUAUGAUAGUAAUAAUAAUACCUACUCUGCAGAUCACUGUGAAGAUCAAAUGAGGAGAUCAAAGUCACAGAUGCGGGCUACCAUCCCCACAAGGUAAAGCCUGAUGGCUUGACAGUUCAUGCCCAUUGUCCCAGCUCUAGGACACCAUAGGCCAUCAUAGAUAUGUAUGAAUUUAAACAUGAGUUUAGGUCCUGUUAAACCCUUGUUCCUAUGGAACAGACACACAUUAAUUGAAAAUCCUAAAUAUGCUUAUUUACAAACAGCUUACACUCUAAUGCAGAGAUUCUCAACCUGUGGGUCAAGAUGUGUCCUUUUCACGGGGGUGACAUAUCAGAUAUCCUUAGUAUCAGAUGUUUACAUUACAAUUCAUAACAGUAGAAAAUUAUAGUUAUGAAGUAGCAAUAAAAGUAAUUUUACAGUUGGGGAUCACCAUAGCGUGAGGAACUGUGUUGAAGGACAGCAUCAGGAAGGUUGAGAACCACUGUGCUAAUGCUUUCUUUUCCCUUCUGAACUUUCUGGAAACCAGCUGCACUCUUCUAUGUGCACAGAGAACUCUUGGACCCAUGUCCCCUUUUACCUCCUCUCCGUCAGACCUUACUCCCCUCAUCUCUGCUUGCAGAUUAGGCAAUUUCUGUGUGCACAGAUGUACAAGGAUCUCAGCUCUACCAUCUCUCCUGUCCCAUUCCCCUGAUGGUAGCGGAAGCUGCAUCAGGACCAGGGACCUUAGCCAUACUGGUUAGAGGAAAUGUAAAUAUACUAGAGACUUGGUAUUGCUCCCAAGUUGGCAAAGUACCUAGAAGUCUCCUACUGAAAGGACAUAAAGACCCCCACCUACUGUCUCAAAUAUCUCUAACUGAAGCUUGUUCUCUUAGACGUUAGCAUUUCUAAUGCUCUCUAAACCUGAUGAUUUGUUUGAGGUCAACUAAUGGACCAAUCUUACAAUUAAAGCAAUAAUUAUAAGAUACACAGCUGCUUGCUGUACUGAGAAUUAAAUGGGAUGGAAGGGAUAUCUGGGAACUAACUACUAUGGAAGAAAUUAUGUCGAUGGGGAAAUGCACUCCAAAUUCCAGAUAACUCAUUCACUCACUGACUUUUGGAAUAUAAUGCUUUAAUAGGUUAAAAAGACUGACUAAAAAUAUUAAGUCUCUUAAUGAAAUUUUUAUUCAUGUAAUUCUUUGGAUUUUUAUCUUAAGAGAUUGAAGCAAUUCUAGUCUCCUCCACAAGAAUUGUUUCCCUGGUAUGGGAGACAUAAUUAAAAGAGGACUUUGGAUUUUCUGAGAUGAUAGGUAGGACCCAACUAUUUUAAUUAGUUUAAUGGAUGUAAGACCAAUUGUUUUAAGGCAGUAGACAAAAUGAUUCAUGUUAUUGGCAGGUUUGUCCACUUGAUUUCCCAAGGGUCAAUCAUUUCAGCUCACACGAAAGAUGCAUCUAUUGUAGGUGAGAACAUUUGAGAAAUAUUUUGGAAUCAUUUCAAAAUCACAUUCUACAUGUGGAAGUAACAGGAACCCAUCUAAAGCCUUUUUUAUUACCUCUACAAUACUAAUGAGUUCCCGCUCACAAGGAGACAUGACAUUUAUAUCCUUUCAAGUUUUCCUUCCUUUUGGGCAGCUUUAAAACAAAAACGGACUAUUUUUCCUUCAUCAUUAUAAACUGGGCAUCUGGUGAGAUUUUUAAGCAAACGAGUGAGAGUUAGCCAGGCUGUGGUGGUGCACGCCUUUAAUCCCAGCAGUUGGAAGGCAGAGGCAGGUGUAUCUCUAUGAGUUUGAGGCCAGCCUGAUCUAAAGGGUGAGUUCCAGGACAGCCAUGGUUACACCAAGAACCACUGCCUCAAAUAACAACAACAACAACAACAAAGCUGAGAAAAAUACAUUUAUGAAGGACCUUUUUGUCUGUGAUUUAAACUCAAGCAGAAAAGCUGCCUCCUGCAAGUGGGCAGGGUGUGGGCCUGGCCAGAAGACUGGAUUUUGGCUCUGCUGCCUGGGGCUUUGAUGAAGUCACUCACGGGUGAGCCCCAUUAUCUCCAUCUGAACAAAUGAGGUUUGGCAUCGGUGCCUGUGAGCUCCUUCCCGACCCUCUGUUUUGUUUUUGUGGUUGGAAAUAAUGCAGGGAUUUUGGGGAUGCAAUCUUCCCAAAUCCAGGCUUUCCACUCUGUCACUUCAGGGGAAGCAAGGGGCUGCCAACAUCACUUUUGCUUUCAGUUCCUAUCAACACGAACUGUGCUUAAACAACCAGUAAGUUAGGCCUCUCUGAACAGCAAUUGGUUUGUUCCAAAAAUUAGCUUAAUUUCCCUUUCCUUCCCCCCCCCUUUUUCUUUUCCUCUCCUUCCUUCCUUCCUUUCACGUCUUAAAG